AUUGAACGCUGGCGGCAGGCCUAACACAUGCAAGUCGAGCGAACCUAGCUUGCUAGGUGAGCGGCGAACGGGUGAGUAACGCGUAGGAAUCUGCCCGAUAGUGGGGGACAACGUCUCGAAAGGGACGCUAAUACCGCAUACGCCCUACGGGGGAAAGCAGGGGAUCUUCGGACCUUGCGCUAUCGGAUGAGCCUGCGGGGGAUUAGCUAGUUGGCGGGGUAAAGGCCCACCAAGGCGACGAUCCGUAGCUGGUCUGAGAGGAUGAUCCGCCACACCGGAACUGAGACACGGUCCGGACUCCUACGGGAGGCAGCAGUGGGGAAUAUUGGACAAUGGGGGCAACCCUGAUCCAGCCAUGCCGCGUGUGUGAAGAAGGCCUUCGGGUUGUAAAGCACUUUAAGGGGGGAGGAAGGUUCGUUGGCUAAUAUCCAACGGAAUUGACGCUACCCCCAGAAUAAGCACCGGCUAACUCCGUGCCAGCCGCCGCCGUAA
rnacentral:rRNA from 1 species